rnacentral:rRNA from 1 species
UGCAACUCGCCUACAUGAAGUCGGAAUUGCUAGUAAUCGCGGAUCAGCAUGCCGUGGUGAAUACGUUCCCGGGCCUUGUACACACCGCCCGUCACACCAUGGGAGUCGGUAACACCCGAAGCCUGUAGUCUAACCGCAAGGAGGACGCAGUCGAAGGUGGGGAUUGAUGACUGGGGUGAAGUCGUAACAAGGUACC